rnacentral:rRNA from 1 species
ACUCAAUAGAUACCCAGGUAGUCCACGCCGUAAACGAUGAAUACUCGGCAUCUGAAGGGCGAUUUUCGUCCCUCGGGUGCCCUAGCUAACGCGAUAAGUAUUCCGCCUGGGAACUACGAGCGCAAGCUUAAAACUCAAAGGAAUUGACGGGGGCCCGGCCACAAGCAGCGGAGCGUGUGGUUUAAUUUACGUACGCAACGCGCAGAACCUUACCCCACGGUUUGUACAUGGAGCUGCAAGCCGGUGAAAGACCGGUCGCCUUCGAGGGUGGCUCCACCAGAUGCUGCAUGGCUGUCGUCAGCUCGUGUCGUGAGAUGUUGGGUUUAAGUCCCGCAACGAGCGC